CUCUAGCUGCAGUCUGGCUCCACUGGUCUGGUGUAUAACAGGAUCUCUGGAGGCUGCUUGUAACUGUGGUCACACAAAUCAAUGUUCUGGGAGAACGAGAAGCAGCUCCAUUUUUUGGGGGCCCUUUACACAGCUCAAGGUCUGGGUCCCAGGGUCCACCUUCAUGUUCCACCAAUGAGUUUGUUCACCGGGGGUGGAGUGUGUAGGGGAUGUCCUGAUUUGUGUGUAAGGAAUGCAUUGUGUGAAUCUGUGUUUAUAUGUGUAAGGGCUGCAAGGUGUGUUUCUGUGUAUGUAAGGGAUGAAGUGUGUGAGUCUGUAAGGGGUGCUUUGAGUGUGUUUAAGGGGUGCAUUGAGUGUGUGUG